rnacentral:rRNA from 1 species
AAAAUCAAUAGUUUUUUAAUUGAAAACUUGAAUGAAAGAAUUGAUAAAAUAUAAACUGUCUCAAAUUAAUAAAUUUGAAUUUAAAUUAAAAGUUAAAAUGCUUUUAUGAAUUUAUUAGACGAUAAGACCCUAAGAAUUUAAAAAUAUAAAUUUAUAUAAUAAAUUAUGUAAUUUUUAAAUAUAUAAAUUUAUAUUUUUUUAUUGGGAGGGUAAUUAAAUUUUUUAACUAUAAUUUUUUAUUAACAUAGAUAAAUGAAUUAAUAUUAAUGAUAAUUUUUAUAAUUAUGAGAAUUAAUUACCAUA